AACGCACCUUGCGCUCCUUGGUAUUCCGAGGAGCAUGCCUGUUUGAGUGUCAUUUAAAUUCUCAACCUUCUCAGCUUUUGUUAGCUGGGUCAAGGCUUUGGAUGUGGGGGUUGCGGGCUUCACAGAAGUCGGCUCUCCUUAAAUGCAUUAGCCAGAACCUUUAGCUGACCAUCUCUGAUGUGAUAAUCUAUCUACAUCAUUGGGAAAGCAGCUCUCAUGUGAGAGAGAGGGUUCAGCUUCUAAUAGUCCUUUACUGGACAAUCUUAUUGACAAUUUGACCUCAAAUCAGGUAGGACUACCCGCUGAACUUAA
rnacentral:misc_RNA from 1 species